UCCCUCAGAAUGGUUGGAAAUCAUUCAUAGAGUGUAAAGGCAUAAGGGAGCUUGACUGCGAGACCUACAAGUCGAGCAGGGUCGAAAGACGGACUUAGUGAUCCGGUGGUUCCGCAUGGAAGGGCCAUCGCUCAACGGAUAAAAGCUACCCCGGGGAUAACAGGCUUAUCUCCCCCAAGAGUUCACAUCGACGGGGAGGUUUGGCACCUCGAUGUCGGCUCAUCGCAUCCUGGGGCUGUAGUCGGUCCCAAGGGUUGGGCUGUUCGCCCAUUAAAGCGGUACGCGAGCUGGGUUCAGAACGUCGUGAGACAGUUCGGUCCCUAUCCGUCGUGGGCGUAGGAAAUUUGAGAGGAGCUGUCCUUAGUACGAGAGGACCGGGAUGGACAUACCUCUGGUGUACCAGUUGUCGUGCCAACGGCAUAGCUGGGUAGCUAUGUGUGGACGGGAUAAGUGCUGAAAGCAUCUAAGCAUGAAGCCCCCCUCAAGAUGAGAUUUCCCAACUUCGGUUAUAAGAUCCCUCAAAGAUGAUGAGGUUAAUAGGUUCGAGGUGGAAGCAUGGUGACAUGUGGAGCUGACGAAUACUAAUCGAUCGAAGACUUAAUCAAAUU
rnacentral:rRNA from 1 species